AUACGGAAGGUCCGAGCGUUAUCCGGAUUUAUUGGGUUUAAAGGGUGCGUAGGCUGUGCGUUAAGUCAGGGGUGAAAUGCCGUCGCUCAACGACGGAGCUGCCCUUGAUACUGGCGUGCUGGAGUACGGAUGCCGUUGGAGGAAUGAGUGGUGUAGCGGUGAAAUGCUUAGAUAUCACUCAGAACACCGAUUGCGAAGGCAUCUGACGAAUCCGUCACUGACGCUGAGGCACGAAAGCGUGGGGAUAGAACAGGAUUAGAUACCCUGGUAUUCCACGCCGUAAACGAUGAUGACUAACCGUCGGCGAUAGACAGCCGGUGGCCAAGCGAAAGCGAUAAGUCAUCCACCUGGGGAGUACGUCGGCAACGAUGAAACUCAAAGGAAUUGACGGGG
rnacentral:rRNA from 1 species